rnacentral:rRNA from 1 species
AGGGUUCGAUUCUGGCUCAGGACGAACGCUGGCGGCGUGCCUAACACAUGCAAGUCGAACGGAGUUAAUGAUUCGGUGUAACUUAGUGGCGAACGGGUGAGUAACGCGUGAACAACCUGACCCAAAGAGGGGGAUAACAUUUGGAAACAGAUGCUAAUACCGCAUAAGACCACAACGUCACAUGGCGAAGGGGUCAAAGGAGCAAUCCGCUUUGGGAGGGGUUCGCGUCCCAUUAGGUAGAUGGCGGGGUAACGGCCCACCAUGCCAACGAUGGGUAGCCGAGCUGAGAGGCUGAUCGGCCACACUGGAACUGAGACACGGUCCAGACUCCUACGGGAGGCAGCAGUGGGGAAUAUUGGGCAAUGGGCGCAAGCCUGACCCAGCAACGCCGCGUGAGGGAAGAAGGUUUUCGGAUUGUAAACCUCUGUCGCAGAAGACGAAGGAAGUGACGGUAUUCUGUGAGGAAGCCCCGGCUAACUACGUGCCAGCCGCGGC